rfam:Desulfotomaculum reducens MI-1, complete genome.
UUCCGACAAAGGCAAACCCUCCGAAAGGGUGGGGCGCAAAACCACGGGCCUAAGGUGUAGCUAGGGUAGCCGGGUUGCCGAG